UGCCAGCAGCCGCGGUAAUACGGAGGGUGCAAGCGUUGUUCGGAAUUAUUGGGCGUAAAGCGCGUGUAGGCGGUUCGUUAAGUCUGAUGUGAAAGCCCUCGGCUCAACCGAGGAAGUGCAUUCGAAACUGUCGGACUAGAGUACGGGAGGGGGCUGCGGAAUUCCCGGUGUAGAGGUGAAAUUCGUAGAUAUCGGGAGGAACAUCAGUGGCGAAGGCGGCUCUCUGGACGAUGACUGACGCUGAGACGCGAAAGCGUGGGGAGCAAACAGGAUUAGAUA
rnacentral:rRNA from 1 species